GCCAGGGGACCCAGCUCCCCAACCGUCCGCAGAGCAAGGAACCGGCCUCCUUACUGUUUCUAGAACCUGCCAGAUACUCGUCCAUCUCAAGGCCCUUGCACUGGCUAUGGCCCCUGCUCUGAAGGCACUUUACCAGAGACCUGCUUAGCUCACUCUUGCUUCCUGCCUCAAAUGCCACCUCAUCGAAACCCUCCUUGGUCAUGCUGGUGCACCCCAACAUGUCCCACUGUACCCCGAAGCAUUUCCCUUGCAGAAGGACAGCUGCCUUGCAGGAAGAGUCUUCUAUCUCCCCCUCCCCCAGCUGGGACAGCUCACAGCCACUGGCCGAGGGACACUGUUGCGGAGGUGUUGUGAGCACUAACUCCAUGUUGAGCUUGUAACACCAGCUGUAACUGAGCCAAAUGGCAGGCCAAUAGUCACCUGGACAACUGGCUGACUGAUGGAUUUGUUGACAACUGCCCGUCAAUAUGCAAAUCGGAUGGUUGGUGUCUGGGCUGUCCCUCCAAAACUGACAUCAGGAAGCUGAGAUAAUGUACCUACUGGGACCAUAAAUAAAUACAAGUGUCUUCAGCUUGCCAUUUGACAUACAGCUCACUGUGACUCCACUCUGGGAGUGUUCCCUCUGCAAAACCAAUGGCCCCUGUCCCAGUGGAUAGUUCUUUGAGUGUAUCCGUGGCAGCUUGCUAGCAUCCUGGACCCGUGUGAAUGUCCCCUUGAAAGGACUGGUCCCCUGGACCCUUUGGACAAGUGGCAUGGUGUCUGGUUCCUUCCUAGCACUCUACACUUGAGUGAUUUUUUAAACCUCUUUUUGCCUAUAUUUUCAUAAACUCCUUGUGCCUCAUUCCU